UCCGGUUGAUCCUGCCAGAGGCCGCUGCUAUCCGGCUGGGACUAAGCCAUGCUAGUCUAGGGGCUUGUACCCCUUCGGGGGUGCAAGCACCGGCGGACGGCUCAGUAACACGUGGACAACCUGCCCUCGGGUGGGGGAUAACCCCGGGAAACUGGGGCUAAUCCCCCAUAGGUGAUGGGUGCUGGAAUGCCCCAUCUCCGAAAGCGCUCAGCGCCCGAGGAUGGGUCUGCGGCGGAUUAGGUAGUUGGUGGGGUAACGGCCCACCAAGCCUAAAAUCCGUACGGGCUGUGGGAGCAGGAGCCCGGAGAUGGACCCUGAGACAAGGGUCCAGGCCCUACGGGGCGCAGCAGGCGCGAAACCUCCGCAAUGCGGGAAACCGCGACGGGGUUAGCCGGAGUGCCCGUGCAUUGCACGGGCUGUCGGGGUGCCUAAACAGCACCCCAUAGCAAGGGCCGGGCAAGGCCGGUGGCAGCCGCCGCGGUAAGACCGGCGGCCCGAGUGGCGGCCACUCUUAUUGGGCCUAAAGCGUCCGUAGCCGGCCCAGUAAGUCCCCCGGGAAAUCUGGUCGCUUAACGAUCAGACUUCCGGGGGAUACUGCUGGGCUAGGGACCGGGAGAGGCCGAGGGUAUUCCCGGGGUAGGGGUGAUAUCCUGUAAUCCCGGGAGGACCACCUGU
rnacentral:rRNA from 1 species